ACAUAUAUGCUGCAGAACUCUUUCAGGGUGUAUCUGAAACUACUUCUCUUAAAGGCAAGCUGUAACUGGCGCCAAUGAGUACUACUGUCUUUUUUAAAAAUUAAAAACAAAUUUAACAUCACUUAGUCUUUAUAAGAAUGAGAAAAUCCAGAUAAGUAUAAAGAAGAAAAUUUAAAAACCUAAAUGGUCGGGGUGUUUGGGGGAGCAGAAGAGGAAGACAGAAGAUUGUAUCUCUCUGUCUUGGCUUCUGAACCUGAGAUGUUUUUUAUUAUUGCAGGAAAAGACAGAAGCUGAUUGAGGUCCCAGCUUGGUAACAGUUUGAAGAGUUGCAGGACUGGCUGGAUGAGUACUGGCUGCAGCAAGUCAUGCUGCCAGGAUUCUUUAUGGCUGUUUCUGCUUCCACUACAGCUGAGUCAGAAAGGUCGCUGCCCAGUGGUGGCAGUAGAUGCAGUGGACCUGGCAAGCAAAUGUUUCCGCUAUUAGCUCUCAGCAACAGAGACUCAUUUAUGGUCACCUUGGAAAUCUGGGCUUAUCGAUCUACAGCCCAAGUCUGCUGAGAAGCUGGAGCUUACUAAAGGGGAAACCUGAGAGCUGUUCAAGCCCCAAACAUUUUCCACUUCUGCGUCACCUCUGCUGUCUGUUAGCAGAGUGGAGGAGAAAAUACACCAGCACAAACAACGUGAAAAAAUACUCUAUUCAUUAAAAGCUGUAACUUCCAGACUGGACUUGAGAAGCAAUUAAGCAACAGAGGCACCUCAUCUACUAUCUGUAUUCAGGCAUGCUCAUGAGAACAUGCUGCUCCAGCUGGACUUAGAGGAGCCCGGUGCAUCAGAGGCAUUCCUGACAGAGUCUCGUGGUCCUGCUGGUCCACUCACUGGUACCCAGUCCUCCUCAUCGUCGGGGAUAGGUUCCAAGACCCCCAGGGGAUGCCUGAAACUGCGGAUGGUACCGA
rnacentral:antisense_RNA from 1 species